GAUGAACACUGGCGGCGUGCCUAAUACAUGCAAGUCGAGCGAACAGAUAAGGAGCUUGCUCCUUUGACGUUAGCGGCGGACGGGUGAGUAACACGUGGGUAACCUACCUAUAAGACUGGGAUAACUUCGGGAAACCGGAGCUAAUACCGGAUAACAUUUGGAACCGCAUGGUUCUAAAGUGAAAGAUGGUUUUGCUAUCACUUAUAGAUGGACCCGCGCCGUAUUAGCUAGUUGGUAAGGUAACGGCUUACCAAGGCAACGAUACGUAGCCGACCUGAGAGGGUGAUCGGCCACACUGGAACUGAGACACGGUCCAGACUCCUACGGGAGGCAGCAGUAGGGAAUCCUCCGCAAUGGGCGAAAGCCUGACGGAGCAACGCCGCGUGAGUGAUGAAGGGUUUCGGCUCGUAAAACUCUGUUAUUAGGGAAGAACAAACGUGUAAGUAACUGUGCACGUCUUGACGGUACCUAAUCAGAAAGCCACGGCUAACUACGUG
rnacentral:rRNA from 1 species